UAACCAUGAUGUUAGUUUAAUCUAUAGAUUUUAAUAACAUGUAUCAUGGUUAUAACCUGACCCUAAACAGACCAUAAUGGAGAUCCUUUGUUGCUGCCCUACAUGCCAGUAGGCAUAAAGGGCAGUCAGUAAGAACCAUGGUGACAUUAGACUAACUAAUGAUAGUGACUGCUGUCCUGACAUGUUACUGUAUUGUUUAUCUCUAUAUAGCAUUGAGGAGACAACUUUAUGUGAAAAAGAAAACACAGAAACAGAAGAGGAAGUUUGUUGGUAAGUUCUUAAACUCUGACAUUUAUCAUGGUUACUUUAAACUCUAUCAUGUAUCAUGAUAACAUUAAACUACUGACAUGCAUUGUGUUUAGAUCGAACUAACAUGUAUCAUGUUACAUUAAACUAACAUGUAUCAGGGUUAUGCUGAACGAUAUUGACUGCUGUCCUGACAUGUUACUGUAUUGUUUAUCUCUAAACAGAAUUGAUUUAUCAAUAUAAGGAGGUAAGUGUUAUUACUGUUUUGAUACAGAAGAACACAAUAAUAUGUGUGAAGGUUCAAGGAGUUUAAUUGUCAUUGUAGUACACAACAAAAUACAGUUAUGCAGUCUCUAGCAGCAGUUUAAUUUCAUACACACACACACACACACACACACACACACACACACACACACACACACACACACACACACACACACACACACACACACACACACACACACACACACACACACACACACACACACACAUCACCCUGUCCAUAUUGUGCCCAUCAAGUCCAGUCUGUUGUGUGUGUGGAG